UACGUAGGGAGCAAGCGUUGUCCGGAAUCAUUGGGCGUAAAGCGCGCGUAGGUGGCCUCAUAAGUCCGUUGUGAAAGUCAAAGGCUCAACCUUUGAAAGCCGAUGGAUACUGUGAGACUAGAGUACGGAAGAGGCGAGUGGAAUUCCUGGUGUAGCGGUGGAAUGCGCAGAUAUCAGGAGGAACACCAAUAGCGAAGGCAGCUCGCUGGGACGUUACUGACGCUGAGGAGCGAAAGCGUGGGGAGCGAACAGG
rnacentral:rRNA from 1 species